AUAAGAAAGAGGUUGCGGCCAGCAAAGUGAUAAAUUUAAAUGUCUAAUUGGGAAUGCCUCACAAUUGUGAGAGAUUGAUCAGCAGCUCUAGCAGUCUGAGCUCCAAACUCCAAAGUGCGAGUCGUAGAAACAUAAAAAAACUCCCCGAAUAGUCAUAAAAUUUGUUGUUUUUUUUCUGCGGAGGAGCAUUCAUUUUCAAAGUGGCUACCGGACAGGAUUGCAUUUACAUUUACGAGCCGAGGUGGCAAGGAACUCAUUCCCCAGCAGAUGGCACCUCCAUUAGCCGAAGGGCAGUGGCCAAUGGGUCGGAAAUAGAUAUGGAUAAAGGCCUUAAUCUGUGCGAAAUGUAUUAGAGAGCAGAACGAACGCAUUGGCACGGAGCGGAGAGCGUAGAGAACUGCAAAGUGUUGGCAAACAAAAAGUCCAGGUUCAAUUAGCAUACCACGGCGGUGAGCCAUAGAGGAUGGUUCGGUUCUCCUCCAGUCCCCCCAACCUCACUUCACUCUUUUUCCACUCGUGGGACUGCGACUGUAACUGGGACCUGGCCCAAGCUGAGAAUUUUAUGACAGGUUAAUGACACAACUACGACAACGAUGGCGGUGAUGAUGAUGAAGCCUGGGCGGCACUGCAUUGCAAAAAUAAAUAAAAUCCUACUGCAUUCUUGUUUAAUAAACCAAUUUAUUACAAGUUAAUAGCAAUGUUCUUCUAAAAGAGGAAGAGAAGCUCUAUAA